GACGGAGGAUGCAAGUGUUAUCCGGAAUCACUGGGCGUAAAGCGUCUGUAGGUGGUUUAAAAAGUCUAUUGUUAAAAAUUGAAGCUUAACUCUAAAGAUGCAAUGGAAACUUUUAAACUUGAGUAUGGUAGGGGUAGAGGGAAUUUCCAGUGGAGCGGUGAAAUGCGUAGAGAUCGGAAAGAACACCAACGGCGAAAGCAACUCUGCUGGGCCGACACUGACACUGAGAGACGAAAGCUAGGGGAGCGAAUGGG
rnacentral:rRNA from 1 species